GCCUCCAUAGUUCAGUGGCUAGAGCACUGGUCUUGUAAACCAGGGGUCGGGAGUUCGAUCCUCCCUGGGGGCU
rnacentral:tRNA from 1 species